CACUGAACAUUGAGCCUUGAUGUGUAGGAUAGGUGGGAGGCUUUGAAGUGUGGACGCCAGUCUGCAUGGAGCCGACCUUGAAAUACCACCCUUUAAUGUUUGAUGUUCUAACGUGGACCCGUAAUCCGGGUUGCGGACAGUGUCUGGUGGGUAGUUUGACUGGGGCGGUCUCCUCCUAAAGAGUAACGGAGGAGCACGAAGGUUGGCUAAUCCUGGUCGGACAUCAGGAGGUUAGUGCAAUGGCAUAAGCCAGCUUGACUGCGAGCGUGACGGCGCGAGCAGGUGCGAAAGCAGGUCAUAGUGAUCCGGUGGUUCUGAAUGGAAGGGCCAUCGCUCAACGGAUAAAAGGUACUCCGGGGAUAACAGGCUGAUACCGCCCAAGAGUUCAUAUCGACGGCGGUGUUUGGCACCUCGAUGUCGGCUCAUCACAUCCUGGGGCUGAAGUAGGUCCCAAGGGUAUGGCUGUUCGCCAUUUAAAGUGGUACGCGAGCUGGGUUUAGAACGUCGUGAGACAGUUCGGUCCCUAUCUGCCGUGGGCGCUGGAGAACUGAGGGGGGCUGCUCCUAGUACGAGAGGACCGGAGUGGACGCAUCACUGGUGUUCGGGUUGUCAUGCCAAUGGCACUGCCCGGUAGCUAAAUGCGGAAGAGAUAAGUGCUGAAAGCAUCUAAGCACGAAACUUGCCCCGA
rnacentral:rRNA from 2 species